rnacentral:lncRNA from 1 species
UCUAACACGAUUCCCAAGAAGAAGAAGCCAGUCAUUGCUGUGAAGAUGAUUUUUGAUUUGAAGACUACAAGGCCUAUCGUGCUCAUGUUUUGUUCUAGAUGGGAAUCGUGCUCAUAUUUUUGUAUAGAACAUUACUACUCUCUAUUGUGGAUGGGAAAUCACUAGUAUUAUAACUGAAUGACUUAUUUUGGAUGGUGCAUGGUUUAUGACUCAUUUGAGGCAAC